rnacentral:rRNA from 1 species
GACGAACGCUGGCGGCGUGCCUAAUACAUGCAAGUUGAGCGAUGAAGAUUGGUGCUUGCCCCAAUUUGAAGAGCAGCGAACGGGUGAGUAACGCGUGGGGAAUCUGCCUUUGAGCGGGGGACAACAUUUGGAAACGAAUGCUAAUACCGCAUAACAACUUUAAACAUAAGUUUUAAGUUUGAAAGAUGCAAUUGCAUCACUCAAAGAUGAUCCCGCGUUGUAUUAGCUAGUUGGUGAGGUAAAGGCUCACCAGGGCGAUGAUACAUAGCCGACCUGAGAGGGGGAUCGGCCACAUUGGGACUGAGACACGGCCCAAACUCCUACGGGAGGCAGCAGUAGGGAAUCUUCGGCAAUGGACGAAAGUCUGACCGAGCAACGCCGCGUGAGUGAAGAAGGUUUUCGGAUCGUAAAACUCUGUUGGUAGAGAAGAACGUUGGUGAGAGUGGAAAGCUCAUCAAGUGACGGUAACUACCCAGAAAGGGACGGCUAACUACGUG